CGGGGGGCUGCAGUGGGGAAUAUUGCACAAUGGGCGCAAGCCUGAUGCAGCCAUGCCGCGUGUGUGAAGAAGGCCUUCGGGUUGUAAAGCACUUUCAGUAAGGAGGAAAGGGUAGUCUUUAAUAGAGGCUAUCUGUGACGUUACUUACAGAAGAAGCACCGGCUAACUCCGUGCCAGCAGCCGCGGUAAUACGGAGGGUGCGAGCGUUAAUCGGAAUUACUGGGCGUAAAGCGUACGCAGGCGGUUUGUUAAGCGAGAUGUGAAAGCCCCGGGCUCAACCUGGGAACUGCAUUUCGAACUGGCAAACUAGAGUGUGAUAGAGGGUGGUAGAAUUUCAGGUGUAGCGGUGAAAUGCGUAGAGAUCUGAAGGAAUACCGAUGGCGAAGGCAGCCACCUGGGUCAACACUGACGCUCAUGUACGAAAGCGUGGGGAGCAAACAGGAUUAGAUACCCUGGUAGUC
rnacentral:rRNA from 1 species